rnacentral:rRNA from 1 species
GAUGAACGCUAGCUACAGGCUUAACACAUGCAAGUCGAGGGGAAACGGCAUUGAGUGCUUGCACUCUUUGGACGUCGACCGGCGCACGGGUGAGUAACGCGUAUCCAACCUUCCCAUUACUGUGGGAUAACCUGCCGAAAGGCAGACUAAUACCGCAUAGUCUUCGAUGACGGCAUCAGAUUUGAAGUAAAGAUUUAUUGGUAAUGGAUGGGGAUGCGUCUGAUUAGCUUGUUGGCGGGGUAACGGCCCACCAAGGCGACGAUCAGUAGGGGUUCUGAGAGGAAGGUCCCCCACAUUGGAACUGAGACACGGUCCAAACUCCUACGGGAGGCAGCAGUGAGGAAUAUUGGUCAAUGGACGGAAGUCUGAACCAGCCAAGUAGCGUGCAGGAUGACGGCCCUAUGGGUUGUAAACUGCUUUUGUAUGGGGAUAAAGUUAGGGACGUGUCCC